rnacentral:rRNA from 1 species
AACCCGAAAGAUUCGAAGGGGGGAGAUUCACCGCCAGUCGCGCGGUCGGCUUCUGCGAUUGGGUGUGAUGUGGCGUCGCUGCGUGCCGUGGUCCCUCGUGGGCUUCGCGCGCGUAUGCUGGCGUUGCACGCGCUCGCGUGGAUGAGCCCGGCUGCGUUGGCGUGCACUUCUCCUCCUUAGUAGGACGUCGCGACCCGCUGGGUGUCGUUUGAAGGGGCUUGCUUGGUGCCUCUGGUGUCUCGAGUUUCGUACGCGGGCUCGUACACCGGAACCGGCUUGCUUUGGAUCGACUGCCCGGCGGUAUGCAAUACGGUAUCGAGCCGCAGAGAGAUCUGCGUUCUGACCGUCGACCUUUUGCCUCGGUAGCCCGGAAAGUCGGUUUUAAUCGUCUCCGGAGCCAGGUGAUUUCGGCUCGUACGUGUCUCGAACUGGCUCCCAUAGCCGCGGGGCGUUUCGGCGCCCCCGGGAUACUCGUCAGCGACGCUAUUGCAUCGGGUACCCUCGGGACCCGUCUUGAAACACGGACCAAGGAGUCUAACAUGUGCGCGAGUCAAUGGGCUUGAUAACCCCAAAGGCGUAUUGAAAGAGAAGACGGUUUCGAGGACGUUCGCGUUCUCGUUCCGUGAUGGGAAGAUGGGCCGCGAAAAUGCUGGCGGCCCCGCACUCCCAGGGCGUCUCGUGCUCAUUGCGAGCUGAGGCGCACCUUGAGCGCACAUGCUGGGACCCGAAAGAUGGUGAACUAUGCCUGGCCAGGUCGAAGCCAGGGGAAACCCUGGUGGAGGACCGUAGCGAUUCUGACGUGCAAAUCGAUCGUCGGAGCUGGGUAUA